CUUGCCGAGAACGGUACGUUGCCGCGGCAAUCGCACGCCGACAAGCAACGCAUUGUGUUCGAUGUAACCACGGCAACCGAUGAACGAGGAGCUGUGCGUGUG